UACGUAGGGGGCUAGCGUUGUCCGGAUUUAUUGGGCGUAAAGAGCGUGUAGGCGGCCAGGUAGGUCUGCUGUGAAAACUCGAGGCUCAACCUCGAGACGUCGGCGGAAACCAUCUGGCUAGAGUCCGGAAGAGGAGAGUGGAAUUCCUGGUGUAGCGGUGAAAUGCGCAGAUAUCAGGAAGAACACCCGUGGCGAAGGCGGCUCACUGGACCAUAACUGACGCUGAUGCACGAAAGCUAGGGGAGCAAACAGG
rnacentral:rRNA from 1 species